GUGCUCGUUUCAGCAGCACAUAUACUAAAAUUGACACGAUACAAAGAAGAUUAGCAUGGCCCCUGCACAAGGAUGACAUGCAAAUUCUUGAAUCGUUCCAUAUUUAA